UGCACUUCUGUGAAGUCAUGCUGAAGGUGGGUCCCAGCCCCGCCCGCUGCCCGGCCACCCCGCAGGUCCCCCGUGACACCGGCUCCUCCCCAGGACAUGGCGGACUCCCGCCGCAUCAAUGCCAACAUCCGGGAGGAGGAUGAGAAGCGGCCAGCAGAGGAGCAGCCACCGUUCGGGGUCUACGCUGUCAUCCUGUCCAGUGAGUUCUGGCCGCCCUUCAAGGACGAGAAGCUGGAGGUCCCCGAGGAUAUCAGGGCAGCCCUGGAGGCUUACUGCAAGAAGUAUGAGCAGCUCAAGGCCAUGCGGACCCUCAGUUGGAAGCACACCCUGGGCCUGGUGACCAUGGAUGUGGAGCUGGCCGACCGCACGCUGUCUGUGGCGGUCACCCCGGUACAGGCGGUGAUCUUGCUGUAUUUUCAGGACCAAGGUGAGCCCACCAGCCCCUAGCUGGUCUGCCCCGGCCACACGGCCCAGCUGUGGGUGAGGGGCUGUUCCCCAGUGAGGGUGUGGUUUGGGGCAGCUGCGCCAGCAGGCAGCACCCUUCCCUUUCCCACGGGCAAGGCAGGGUGGCCUGGGAGCCCCCCGACCUCUCGGCUGACAGGAGGCAGGGGAGGUGCAGCCUGUGCCCAGGCUGCCCAGCGUCCCGGUGACUCUGCACGCAGCCAGCUGGACCCUGGAGGAACUGAGCAAGGCGGUGAAGAUGCCCGUGGCGCUGCUGCGGCGGCGGAUGUCCGUGUGGCUGCAGCAGGGUGUGCUGCGUGAGGAGCCCCCCGGCACCUUCUCUGUCAUUGAGGAGGAGCGGCCUCAGGACCGGGACAACAUGGUGCUCAUCGACAGUGACGACGAGAGCGACUCCGGCA
rnacentral:sRNA from 1 species